CUGACACAGUUGUCUGCAGUUCUCAAUUGACAUUUCGCUCCAGUGUCGAGGGUCAACAGGAAUGUUGGGGCGUGGGGCAAUCUGGAAGACACAGGGAGCAGGGCCCUUGGCUCAGCUGAUAGUUGCCGCAGGGAUUACAGGCCCAGGGCAGCCUGCCACAGCUGGGGCUUUUACCAAAGAAAAUCUCCCUAUGUUAAAUGCUUGCUCAAAAAUUUUUAAAAAAUAUUCUGUAAGUCAAAAUCCAUUGUUAGGUCAGUUUGAGAGAGCCAUGUUUUUGGUGUUUUAGUAACCAAUUUCAUUUUUUUAUUAUUUAUUUAUUUGUUUAUUUUUGAGACGGAGUUUCACUCUUGUCACCCAGGCUGGAGUGCAAUGGCAUGAUCUCAGCUCACUGCAACCUCCGCCUCCCGGGUUCAAGCAAUUCUCCUGCCUCAGCCUCCUGAGUAGCUGAGAUUACAGGUGCCCACCAUCACGCCUGGAUAAUUUUUGUAUUUUUUAGUCGAGAUGGGGUUUCACCAUGUUGGCCAGGAUAGUCCUGAACUACUGACCUCAGAUAAUCCGCCCACCUCAGCCUCCCAAAGUGCUGGGAUUACAGGCAUGAGCCAGCACGCCCGGCCACCAAUUUCAUUUUUUAAAAAAGGAAGAAAGAAAACCUUAGCCAGAAGAUCUUUUUCCUUGCCAUAUGCAGUAAGAGUAGAUUAUAAAAACAAAGUCAGAGCAGUCACUGGUGUCUGGGCAUGGAGGAGAAAGAAGAAUUCUCUUCUCCCUUCACCCUCCAUGCCCCUUUUUGGCUCCAUGUGAUUCAGAUUUCUGGACCCUGGAGCCCCACCCCAAGCUAAAGACCAGGAUACAGGGAAGCCAAAAGCCACUGGCGGUUCUGAGAACUUACUUUUCACUUAUUCUGCAUUUACUGUUUCCUUUUCUUAUGCAGAAAAAGAAAAAAACCAAGGUAGGUGUGUGGGUAGAGAGCAUGAAGUGUGUGUACUCAUGCAUAUGUAUGUGCAUGCAUGUGAAGUGUGCAUGUGUGAGCUCAUAUGCAUCCAUGCACCAGACUUGCCUCUUCCUCCCCCUCCUUCCUGAGCUUCUGCUGGGGCCGAGCGUGCAGUAAUGACAACUACGAUUUGCUGGGGGAAGGCUACGUGCCAAGCACUCUUUUAGGUGCUUUCCAUGAUUAAUUCCUUCCUCACAACAGCCCUAUGAGAUUAGUACUAUAACUAUCCCCAUUUUCAGAGGGAGAAAAGGUACAGACUUGACUAACUUGCCCAAGGCCACACAGCCAGAGAGGGGCAGAGCCAGUACUUAGAGCCAGGCAGUCUGGGUCCAGAGUCCGUGUCCUGAACCACAAGAGGCCAUCAUACACCAUCAGAUUUGGUGCUAGCAUUUCUGGUGGUGCCUGGUGGUGAUGGAUCCAUCACAGGGGUCCUCCAGGUACUGGUGCUGGCCCAGACCAGAGCUGACACUCCUCAGGCACUACCACAUUCCAGGCACUGUGCUUGGGGUCAGUCCCUCUCUUUUUUUUCCCCCCCAAUUAUAACAGUAUCUACAAAGUAGGUGCUGUUAUUUUUCCCCUUUCACAGGUGAGAUAGACUCAAAGAAGUGAACUUGCCCAAGGAACAGAACUAAUGAGUGGGGAAAAUGGAACUGGAAACCAUGUCUGUUUACUCCAAAACCUGUGUUUCUUGCCCUCUUUCUCUGAUGCCAGCCCCCUACACUUCAAGGCCUGUGUUGUCCAGACCCACACUCGGGCCUGCCAGUGUGUGCCUGGCAGGGAUGCUCCAUGGCCACACCAUAUCCAUCCUACACAUCCCCCCUCAGACUGUGACCUCCAUUUGCUCUGGGAUCCCCACAAGCUUCAGCUGCUUGAGCAAGACACUGCUUAGAAGGCAGAGCAAGCCAAGGCCUCUGGGGCCUGCUGGGAGCCAAAGCUGGGGAGCCGUUUCCACGGGUCUAUCUGCUUGAGCUGUCCUAGAUGAGCAGCAUGGAAGGGCAGUGGUGCAUGAGUCCAGGCGGGCUGCUUUUCUGCUCCGAGAGGCUCUGCCUGCCCAGUUGUUCUCUGCAUUGCAGCCUCAAUCCCCACAGCCUUGCCUUCCCCCGGCUUUCCCUACAGGUGCACCGCAUCCACAGUGUUGGCACCAUGCAGCAGCCGCUCUCCGUCCUUUUCAUAUCCUUGUCACUUGCACGAGCAUGUCUUGAAAAUAUCCCUUGUUUGUGUAGCAUCUUAAAUGUUUUUGCAGUAUGAUUUUGCAUUCAGUAUCUCAUUUGAUCCCCACAAGAGCCCUAUGAGGAGGGAAAGCAGAUUUUACCAUUAAAGGAUGAGUAAACUGAGGCCAGAGAGGAUAUUUUUGGUUUUUUUUGAGACAGUCUCACUCUGUCACCCAGCCUGGAGUGCAGUGGCUUGAUCUUGGCUCACUGCAAGCUCCACCUCCCAUGUUCACACCAUUUUCCUGCCUCAGCCUCCCAAGUAGCUGGGACUACAGGCACCCACCACCACACCCAGCUAAUUUUUUUGUAUCUUUAGUAGAGAUGGGGUUUCACCCAGUUAGCCAGGAUGGUCUUGAUCUCCUGACCUUGUGAUCUGCCUGCUUCGGCCUCCUAAAGUGCUGGGAUUACAGGCGUGAGCCACCGUGCCCGGCCAGAGAGGAUAUUUCUUAUAUGAGGGGCAGGGCUGGGAUUCCAGCCCAGUGUUCUGAUGGCUCACCCACUGACCAUGCCACUAAUCCGUGUCCUUUUUCAAUCUAUACUUUGCAGGGUUGUAGAGGUUCCUUUGAGGUGCCUCAGUAGCUGCCAUGGUGAUGUGGGGUGCUGAGGGCAAAGAGCUCUGUUCUCAUUAAUCAGAGAAGCUUGUGUUUUUAUAUACACCAUGUUUCUGCAGGAAAUUUAAUUUGAACAGUGUUUCCAUCUGGAAAAAAAAAAGUCUACAAAAUACUUGACAAUCACUGCACUAGAUCAUGCUGCUUUUAGCAUUCUUAGCAUUUCACGUGCUGAGCUCUCAAUACUCUACCAUGAGGAGGGAUGGAGUGGGUAUGAAAAGAUAAAGAACUGAAGUCACACGGCUUGUCAGUGGCAGAGAUAGAGCUUGAACCGAG
rnacentral:lncRNA from 1 species